GAGGAGAAAGCCUUGCAGGAAGAGCCCCCUGCCACUUCUCUCCUCCUGCACACACCAUGCGCCUCAGUCUGCUCUGCUGGGGGGCCCUGUGUCUCUGGGGAGCAGGCUCCAUGGACACAGAGGUCACCCAGACUCCCAGACAUCUGCUCAAGGGAAAGGCACAGACAGCAAAGAUGGACUGUGUCCCUGCAAAAGGACACAGAAGUGUUUAUUGGUAUCGUAAGAAGCCAGAAGAGGAACUCAAGUUUUUGGUGUACCUCCAGGAUAAAGAAAUUAUUGAGAAAACAGAAGUGAUCAAUGAGCGAUUUUCAGCUCAAUGUCCCACAAACUCACCCUGCAGCGUGGAGAUCCAGUCCACUGACCUGGGGGACUCGGCCCUGUAUUUCUGUGCCAGCAGCCAAUCCACAGUGCUCAAAGUUCACUUUCCUUUGAACACAAACUCAGCCUGCACCAGCUCAGGAAAUGAGUGGAGCAUUCGGUUGGUAGAAAACACCAGAAACGAAAUUGAAGAGCAUAGGUCUGAAGGAAAAAUGUAA